rnacentral:rRNA from 3 species
AUAAUGACUCUCGGCAACGGAUAUCUCGGCUCUCGCAUCGAUGAAGAACGUAGCGAAAUGCGAUACUUGGUGUGAAUUGCAGAAUCCCGUGAACCAUCGAGUCUUUGAACGCAAGUUGCGCCCGAAGCCUUUUGGCUGAGGGCACGUCUGCCUGGGCGUCACGCA